UACGUAGGGGGCAAGCGUUGUCCGGAAUCAUUGGGCGUAAAGCGCGUGUAGGCGGCCAGAUAAGUCCGUUCUGAAAGCCCGGGGCUCAACCCCGGGGAGGCGGAUGGAUACUGUUUGGCUCGAGUCCGGAAGAGGCGAGUGGAAUUCCCGGUGUAGCGGUGAAAUGCGCAGAUAUCGGGAGGAACACUGGUGGCGAAGGCGGUUCUCUGGGCAUGUCCUGACGCUGAGGAGCGAAAGUGUGGGGAGCGAACAGG
rnacentral:rRNA from 1 species